GGGGGGGGGGGGUGUGUGUGUGUGUGUGUGUGUGUGUGUGUAUGUGUGUGCUCAGCGUCCUCCUUUACAUAUUAAAGAAGAAUGAAGCCAAGUUCAUACGAGGGCAAUCCGUCACUCUAUUUAAAGCUCCGACUUUUGUGCGCUCGGAAGGGCUUUAUUCUAGCGCUCUCUGACAAAACCAUGACUUAUGAUCAAACGUCAGGCCUCGCGAGGCGCCAUUUCGUUCCAGUGCUACCCACGCUCGGAGCCAAAAAGGAGUCGCUGUGAAUUUGUGGGAAGCAUGCAUGUGUGUGCCGUACGGCAUCUUUCGAUGGAAAACGUCGACCUUUUCUUGCACAAGCGGAACCUGAAAUUGAUUCUGCCUGAAGAACGGCUGCAUCAUGAUCUGCAGGCUCUGAGCCUAAGCCGCUCUGUGCAAUAAAGCAGCAACAGUCACGCAGGAGCCCCGAUUCCACGCCCAGCGCUUAGCCUUUCCCACUGGAGAAGAUUUGGGAAUCUUGCCAGGAUCUCCUGUGGGAUGGAGCGAUCAACCCUGACAUGUUGCUCCCAUCAAAAAUGCGUGCCAUGCAGCCAAAAGUCCAACUUCUACACAUAAUUGCUCAGACAGUGGAAUUGCCAUGGCAACACCCGAUACUCCUACAACAUUCACUUGCUCCCACGAUAAAGGGCCCCCUGUUGGCGUUGUUGAAACGGAUCGGGCAAAGGCGGGAACGGGGCAGAAGGUGCCUCCCACUGUUCCUGCAGAUGUGGGUUGAUGUUCUGACCCUGACUGUGCGGUUGCGGCAGCAGUGUCUCCCGAGCCAAUCUAUUUUGGCCAAAAGCCGGUCCAUUUGGGUUAUUUGGGCAAUCUCUAGACCAGUGGCUAACUUGGCUGCACGCUUGACAUAUCUCUCUGCGCAUAUCUCAGUGUCUACGCCCAUGUCCAUGGCUCGCACCAGCAUUAUAAUUGGCAUGUCUCUCUCUCUCUGCCCCCUCCUGGCAAUGUAUUUACUUGCGCAUGCAUCACCUUUGCUGUUGUCUCAGCACUUCGUUGUUCAAUCAGUAAGCUACAAUGGUUUAUAAAUGGCAGCAUGUCUUUCACGAUCUUAGUUUCCCAUCCCAUGCAUAUACGUUUGGCAUCGGCUUGUAAUUUUGCAGCUAAUCUACUGACAAAGGCAUGGGAAAAUGGCACUCCCUCAUCAUCCGGCAAACCCGAAUACCAUCUGUACACAUUAUGUAGGCGCUAUUAAUAGUCUGAUGGGUCUUUGCCCACUCUCUGUUUACAUACUUGAAUCUUUCCCCAAUCCGUUUUAAGUGGUGCUACGACCACCAAUUCCUCAAUGAGGUCGUUGAUAUGAUUAUUGAGUGUGUCCCUACCUGGGGGCACCUCUUCUGGCCACUUGGCAGUUUGUUUCAGCUGUCGCAGCAACCCCUCGGGCACAAUCAGUCGCAAUAAAACAUUCAUGUCUACAUAAGUUGGGUUAUGUCAUUCCACAAUAACUCAUAAUCCCGUUGAAACCUCUGUGGAUUUCCAUGCAUUUUCGGCAUAUCGUUCGCUAUUACUCUUCAUUCUGAACCCCAUGGUCUAUAAAUGGCUUGCACGUUGUUCGGGCCAGGGUAAUCUCACAAUGGAUAUGCACCUAUUGGUGCAAUUUCCUCCUUAUCACCCUCUGUAGUGUCCCUGAUCUUUUGUGACCUGGUCCACACCCCGGCCGUACCAGCAUUGGGACCCCUUCCCUACCGGUGGGCGAUCAAUACCUCCGCAUCCCCGCGAUACCUUAUAUCCUUGUCCUCUGCAGCAUGUCUUUCAUCGUCACUAUCCAAAACCUCCGUUUUUGAUACUCC
rnacentral:lncRNA from 1 species